UCGCAGUCUUCAUAGUAAGUCAGCCGAACCGGUACGGGAGAGAAAAAAAUUGCCCAGCCACGCACGUCCCGGCCUCCCAAUCUCAUCUCCACCGGCAGCGCAACACCACCUCCUACCCUGCCCUCACCGCGCGCCGCCGGACACACCCCGCCGUCGAGCGUCACCACCGCCUACCCUCCUCCCAUCGGGAUCCCCCCGAUCCAAAAAUCCAUCCACCCAGUCCUCUCCUUGAUUUCCAAAUCGAGCCUACCGGCAGCCUCCCUGCGCAGCUGUGCCCCCGCGCCUCUGCCUCACCGAGCGCCCGACCAGGCCGUCGUUUGUCGCCAGCACCCGCGGAUCUGGCCGCCCCUCACCUUUCCCAUGGGCUGCACCUCACAGCGCCGCCGCCCCUGCCAAGCUCCGCCGCUGGAGGAUGAAAUUCUGUCAAUGCCCACUGUCUUCAAGUAAUACUUUUUUUAGUGUCCAGGAAAAAAUCUUGGGAACAUUUGUCAUGCUAGCCACCUGACGCUCGGCAUAUCCUCUCCUUCGUGGCAUCCAGCUUUGCUGCAGGGACCAAAAGUUGGGGUCAAGAUCGAAGUCGGCUGAGCUAUUGGGUGGCUCUGAAGAUGUGUUUGUGUUAGAGAUUAGUUUACGUGCAAAGUAAGUUCUGUAAGAAAAGUAUUACUGCGCACCACUCCAAUUUGUUCCUUGAACUGAUAAGAUCUGGUCCAGUAGUACUCCUGCAAAUCUGAGGUAAGACGUUCUGCAUGUUUCUAUUAUCCUGCACAAUAAGCAAUAUGUGUGUCCUCACCAUAGUGGUGGAGCACAUACACUUCAAAUCAUCCGUUCUCUUGUUCCCCAAAAUAAAUUCAUUCGUUCUAACCAUUAGCCAUAUAAUUGUACAGAUAGACCAUAUAAAUGGGAUUCUUUCUGUAAAUAGAAAUCAACCUGAUUUGAUUAUGUUUCAUGUCCAUAAUAGUUUUCUCUUGGUAGAAAAAACAUAAACAUGUACAUACAGAUUAUAUUUCUGCUCAUUGCAAGAGGAUAUGAGGAUUUCUACUAUUAUACUGACAGAAUGAUAGCAUCACCUCAAGCAUGUAACCGUGGGAGUUAGUCUUUGUUACCUGACCUGAAUGUUGUUGUAAACACAAAUAUGUCCUAAGAAUUAGGGUAAGAAUGAAGCCAAUAACUGUUGAAUGUCAACAGAUGUAGCUCUUUUAAUCCCACAAAAGUUAGUCAUAAAGGUGGCCACAUUGCUGCAUUUGAUUGUUCCCUACAAGAAUGAGAUUGAGUAUUCUGUGCUUGCCACAUGCCAUCAACGUACUAUUCUCAUUCUAAUUAAUUUUUGAUGUUCCUAAACUUGAUUUUGUUCUUGCCUUUAUAGACAAGCCUCAGCAUAUUUGAGAUGAUGGCUGUUGCUGCACGUGAAGAGUUGGUUAAUAUGAAGAAGUUCCUAAUUAACUGACUUGAGCCAUUUGCACAGAACCGGUGCUCUCCCGUUGCAACAUACGGGCAUUUGAUGAGAGAACGGACGUAAGCACAUUGACAUAAAUAUAUGCAGGAAGGAAUUAAAGGAGAGACUACACAACUCGGGUGACAAAGAGUUGUGCCUAUGGCCGAUUAAAUAGAACUAAAAAAAGUCUGCGUCUAUAGUGAGACACCUCGAGGAAAAAAGAUCGGAUGAUGAGAAAGGAAAAAGGAGAGAUUGGAUCGGGACAACGUACAACCUGGAUUCAGGUUUUAGCACACGAUGGACGAGCUGCAGGCCAUGGCGGACGCUGGAGGCACAGGCCCAUCGCAGACAGGGGUAGGCCUGGGUGAAGUCGGCAAGGUGUGUGUGUGUUGCAGAUAGAUGGAGGCACUGGGACGGGGCGGCAAGGUGUGUUUGUUGCAGAUAGAUGGAGGCACUGGGACGGGGCGGCAAGGUCCAAGACGACGGGUCACGAGAGCAGGUUGUGGUUGCCUGCAUAUAUAUGUAUUCCCCUCCGUUAACAACGGUUGGAUGAAGCUUUGGAGUACUAUAAACUUCCAGGGAAGGUAAAACCCAUCUUUGGCAUAUUUGUUUUCAGAGUAUUGAUGUUGGAGAUGACCUUAAGAUGAGAAAGACUAAAGAUUUGGUAAGCUGUCCAUACUGCCUCAAGGGGGGAAGUUUUUAUCACUGCUUUUUGGUUGUAUUUAUAUAAGAAGCAUGGAGGGAGCUGGAACUAAUUUGUGAUUUCUCCUGGCCAUUUUUUUCUUCUAAAAAGAGUAAGUUUCCCGGUGUUCAAACAUUGUAGAUCAGAAAUGUUCUUCAUCGAUGCCCAUCCCAAUUGCUAACAAUUCUUUUGCACACUCAGGUUGCCAAAUAUAGUACGAAGGAACUAUAGCAAGCGAAUUGUUGAGUUUGCCAAGCAUAAUGGCAGAAGAAGCACACCUAAUUUUGGCAGAUCAUAUAAAGAGAAUAUCGAGCAAAGAUGCUUUGAGAUUUACCCAUGACUAUAUGCGGUUCCUAUAAAGUCCUGUUGCAUGUUUAAUGAUUGCCACAAUAGUUUCUUUUCAUGCACCAGAGAAUUAUAUUUUUUGUAUCAGGUAAAUAAUUCUUUUCUCACUGUUAUUUUUCUAGAUCAAGAUCGAGAGAUAGACAAGGGGUAAUGGUAGCUCGUGCAGUGAUAGAGUGCUGGGGAGGCUGCCGGUGUCAUUGCCGAGUGCUGGGGAGGCUGCUGAACAAGUUUAUUUAUUUGUCGUGUGAAUUGUUCCACACUUCUGAUCAUCAUAUUGUAUGAUGAGCAGUUGGCCAUCUCUUAUUCUGUGGGGAUAUGGUCCGUUUGUAUUCUUCUAAUUGAUUCGGUUCACAAUUCUAGCCGAUGAAAUUUGGUCUACAUUUAUGUGUACGUAUGCUAUACUAUAUACUGGAACUUGUGCUUGCCCGUUAUAUGAUUAUACUACAAGUAGACAAAUGUAAAUGUCCAUAGUAAUAAACUUGUGGUCAUAGGACUACUAGCUUAAAGUUUGUUAGAUUAUGUAAAUGGGCAUUUUUGUUGUCUGCUCUUUAGGUUUCCAUAGCAUGAGGUGGUGCUCUUGCUUUUAAAAACACAUAUAAACUGCCAUCUAUACUGAACAAUGGGGCUUCCUGUCUAAACUGGAGUAGAAAUUUGAGGCUGAAAGGACCAACAUUAGCAGCAAUAAUAUUAAUAUCCAUUAGAAGAGUUUUCUACACUGAGCCCGUGGGUCUCACAAAGAUAUAAGAUAUAUAGAAUGUUGUAAAGAUCAGCUUACCUUCUCAUGCAAUGGAACAAUUGUGUGUCUUGAUCUUUUCCGUUUUCUUUGGUUUUGCAGCCUAGAAUUUUUAGGCACGCGCAUAUAGAUUGGAGCAUCUAAUAGUAGUUGAAAGUGUUUUUGAGUAAAAAUGCAACUAAUACUCAAUUUUCUAGGACUUGAUACAUCAUGGUCUUCUUGUGCCUUGUUGUUUGGUUGGUGUAGAAUCCCUCAGCUCUUACCAAGAGGCUCUAGCUUCGAACCUGACUCUUUUAGUAGUUGGAGUGUUGCACACAUGGAAUUGAUCGCAGAGAGGAAGCGAAGCAGCAACAGUUUGGGUUCAGAGAAGAUUAGGAGCAGCAGUUCAUUGGAGAAGGAGAGGUACAGCAACCGAGGGCAGCAGCAGAGAGCAGAAUCAGCAGGUCAGGGGCGGCAGCAGAGGAUCAGAAGCAGAGAUGAGUUCGAUUCAAUUGCCAUUGAUAAUGAUUCAGACUUGAGUUUGCACCACCCUUGUUUUACUAAAUAGUUUGUCCUUUUUCACUUGUGAUUAUGCACUAGAGAUUUGCAAGGAUGCAUUGGAUUCUUUUUAUACUGAUUUGAUGCACUCUGACUUUCGAAUGCGAACAAAUGUGAUCUUCAAUUGGCAUUGAUGAUUCAGACUUUA